rnacentral:rRNA from 1 species
CCUACGGGAGGCAGCAGUGAGGGAUAUUGGUCAAUGGGGGAAACCCUGAACCAGCAACGCCGCGUGAGGGUAGAUGGUUUUCGGGUGGUAAACCUCUGUCCUCUGUGAGGAUAAUGACUGUAGCAGAGGAGGACGCUCCGGCUAACUACGUGCCAGCAGCCGCGGUAAUACGUAGGUAGCAAGCGUUGUCCGGAUUUGCUGGGUGUAAGGGGUGCGUAGGCGGGCUUGCAGUGCAGAAGUGAAAUCUAUGGGCUUAAGGCAUAAACUGCUAUUGAAACUGCAAUGCUUGAGUGCAGUAGGGGUAGGCGGAAUGUGUGGUGUAGCGGUGAAAUGCGUAGAGAUCGGGAGGAACACCAGUGGCGAAGGCGUCUCACGGGGCUGCAAUUGACGCUGAGGCACGAAAGCGUGGGUAGCAAACAGGAUUAGAUACCCGUGUAGUC